rnacentral:tRNA from 1 species
GGGAAGGGAAAGGCGUUCGGAUACGCCAGCCGGAUUGUAACUCCGGUCCUUCGGGGAGUGGUUCGAGUCCACACCUUCCCACCA